UACUAGUAGUAUAAACGUACAUGCCUUCCAAGCAAAAAGACCAAACUAAACGGCUAGUAUA
rnacentral:tRNA from 1 species